CGAACCUUCACUGUCUGCAGUGACUUGCACAUUAAAUCGCUGUUUAAAAUUUUUGAGUACUAGGCCUGCGUGCGCCUGUAAUCCCAGCACUUCCGGGAGGCAUAGGCAGGUAGAUCUCGAUGUCUGAGACCAGCUUCUUGCUCUGCAGCCCGGGGCCGACCUCUGACUGGGGACAUAGCCUCCUGAGUGCUGGGCCAACACACGGGGAACCCUCUGCCUACACCUACUUCCUGAGGGCGCUGAAGGUCGGCUUCCCUACAUGAGGUGGUGUGUGUGGAGGGAGACACAGUAGGAUGCUGGGGACACACUGGCCACCUAGCCUGGUCUGAUGUGAGAGAUCCUGCCUGAAAACAAAAGAUGGAGAGUAAUGGAGGAAGAUGUCUGGUCCCCAUGUGCACAUACACAGAAAAAAUAAAUAACAAACAUGGCUGCAUAUAACA